GACGAACGCUGGCGGCGUGCUUAACACAUGCAAGUCGAACGAUGAAGCCGGAGCUUGCUCUGGUGAAUUAGUGGCGAACGGGUGAGUAACACGUGAGUAACCUGCCCUUGACUCUGGGAUAACUGCGGGAAACUGUAGCUAAUACCGGAUACGACCCUCGGAGGCAUCUCCUGGGGGUGGAAAGAAUUUCGGUCAAGGAUGGACUCGCGGCCUAUCAGCUAGUUGGUGAGGUAGAGGCUCACCAAGGCGACGACGGGUAGCCGGCCUGAGAGGGUGACCGGCCACACUGGGACUGAGACACGGCCCAGACUCCUACGGGAGGCAGCAGUGGGGAAUAUUGCACAAUGGGCGCAAGCCUGAUGCAGCAACGCCGCGUGAGGGAUGACGGCCUUCGGGUUGUAAACCUCUUUUAGCAGGGAAGAAGCGAAAGUGACGGUACCUGCAGAAAAAGCACCGGCUAACUACGUGCCAGCCGCUGCGGUAA
rnacentral:rRNA from 1 species